CGGGGCCCUGAUGUGCAGCGCUCGGGAAGCAGCGAGGUGGGCGGCUCAGUCGCAGCAGCAGGUACCUUAGGGACGAGAAAAUGUAUGUAAAAGGACGUCUUGCUACAAAAGGGGUUGUGCUCAUUCCAAGACCAUGCAUUUAGAAAUUUUACUCUUACUGUAGCUAGUUGAACCGUUGCAGAGAUUAAUAAAAAAUGUUAAUCUAAAAAGAGAAAAAAAAUCAAACUUUA